rnacentral:rRNA from 1 species
CGUAGGGUGCAAGCGUUAAUCGGAAUUACUGGGCGUAAAGCGUGCGCAGGCGGUGAUGUAAGACAGUUGUGAAAUCCCCGGGCUCAACCUGGGAACUGCAUCUGUGACUGCAUCGCUGGAGUGCGGCAGAGGGGGAUGGAAUUCCGCGUGUAGCAGUGAAAUGCGUAGAUAUGCGGAGGAACACCGAUGGCGAAGGCAAUCCCCUGGGCCUGCACUGACGCUCAUGCACGAAAGCGUGGGGAGCAAACAGGAUUAGAUACCCUGGUAGUCCACGCCCUAAACGAUGUCAACUGGUUGUUGGGUCUUCACUGACUCAGUAACGAAGCUAACGCGUGAAGUUGACCGCCUGGGGAGUACGGCCGCAAGGUU